UACGUAGGGUGCGAGCGUUAAUUGGAAUUACUGGGCGUAAAGCGUGCGCAGGCGGUUUUGUAAGUCUGACGUGAAAUCCCCGGGCUCAACCUGGGAAUUGCGUUGGAGACUGCAAGGCUGGAGUCUGGCAGAGGGGGGUAGAAUUCCACGUGUAGCAGUGAAAUGCGUAGAGAUGUGGAGGAACACCGAUGGCGCAAGGCAGCCCCCUGGGUCAGACUGACGCUCAUGCACGAAAGCGUGGGGGA
rnacentral:rRNA from 1 species